UCUUGUGUUAUAUAAAACAUAUGUGGGUUGUUGAUUUUCAAUACGUCAUUUGAAAAAAAUAAAGAUUGGAUGUGCCAAAACACCCAACUAAAUAGUACUUAACAGCCCUUUCUGAAAAGAAAAGAAAACUCUUAAAUAUUUACGCAAAACCUAAUUACCAGUUUGCAAGCAUUUCAAGUGGUUGAAAAAGCAUAGGCCUGACAGGGAAGAAGUAGAGCAAGUAGACAUACUAUUUCCAGUAAACAAAGCAGAGGUCAGUGCCUUCUGAGGUCAUAAUCAAGAUAAAGAAUGCUUACAGAUGAUUUGCGUAGGUCUCAGGUUUGCCAUUCCUUCAUUCCCCUUAUUUGUAAUACGGGAAUGAAGAGAAGAGGAGAAAGAACAGAGGGAAUUGAGGCUAAGAAGUAAAGAAAAAAGUAAAGUCAUUUGGACCAAAAGGGUUGAGAACCCUGGGGCAGAGAGAAGAAGGACAUGAUAAUGUUCAAGGACUAAAGUAAGUCCAGAGCAGCUGGAACACGGGGCAAAGGUACCUUCAGCUUUUUUGCACCUAGAGAAGCUCCAAACCUGUAUCAUGAUCAUCCAUAUGCUGUGUGACCUUGCAUUAACUUAGGAAGACAGUUCUUCUCUAAGGUAAUCCCAGGGUUACCUGAAGUGUUUAGAAGAGCAACAGAUUCCUGGAAUCUUCUGAGUGCCAAAUGCCAAUUUCAACGUUCUACCCUGGAAAAAAUAGGACAAGAGGGAUUAGAAGUCUCCGGGACUACAUUCUGCCUCUGUACUUCCCAAGAUGGAGCUUCCUGGCUGCUGUUUCCUCCCACCCAAGAAUCGCCCCUCACCUCGGUCCAUGCCCCACUCCUAGAGUCUCCAUUUGAGAACAGGAAUGGAAUGGAGAGAAUGAAAGCCAAUCACUAGUCAUCCUUCAUUUGAAUUUUCUUUAUGACCAGGGCUGUUACUAUAGUGUUAUAUUUACUACAUUUUCUCAGCAAUUUUUAUGUUUUGUACCAUGUAUUUAGGGUCAUAUUUGCUUCUGGAAUUCUCAGUCCUUAUAAACCUGAAAACAAUCCAGCUUCAAAACCAUAAUACCUAUCAUUAAAACAAUUAUUAUAAU